rnacentral:lncRNA from 1 species
AAAGAAGCACCGAGCGGAGGAAUAGAGAGAGAGGAGCGGCGGCUGGCGCAAAGGAAAGAAAAAACUGAGCGGAGGAAUAGAGAGAGGAACGGCGGCCGACGCAAAGGAAGGAAGAGCGAGCCUAGUGUCACGGCAUCAGACACGGUGAAAGGCGGACGGCAAGAUCCUGGAUCCCAACGCCGGCGAAGGGGGUGGAGAGAAGAAAGAGAGCAAGAAGGAAAAAAUGGAGAUUAUUUUUUAGAGAAAAAGGCAACAUAAUAGUCAGGAACAAGAAGAACAGAGAGAAAAGGACGAAAACCAUACCUUAGUGCAAAAAGAGGCUCCAAACGACACCGUUCAAGUGAGGU